CAUAUAUUUAAUACUCUAGAUGACUUCAAAUAUGGCACUAUCUCUUAUCAACAUAUAUUUUGGGCCGUCAGAGUUUUUCCUAACUAUUUCCUCGUGCUGGAAGAAAGCAUCAGCACUUAGUUCACUGCGCAGAGGUUCUUGGAACACCAAUUUGUUGGGGAUUACAAGUAUGGACGGCAAGCGCAUCGGAACUGGAUGCCUCUUCCCCUGCCACGAACAAUCGAUGAGGAAACCGCUCAGGAAAGGGAAGCUUCCCUUUGUGCUUGUUGUGGGUGGUAGAAGCAUCGGUGAGGAGCAACCUCAGCUUUAUCUACACUGCAAUCAAAUGGUUCUUCCUGAUAUCCCAGUGGCUGUUCCCAGGCUGUAGUCUGCAGGUGCUAAUCCCGAUUCCUCAGAUCUUGAGAAUCUCAACUCUGUUGCUCCCCUGCAAUUGCAUAUGCGGUUGAGUUGGGAAAUUCCGAAGUAUGUGAAGAUGUGGAGAUAAUAAGAAAAUUGUCACAAAAAACACGGCGGGGGGGGGGGUUAAUUUGAUCUGUAUCGUUGCAAAUAUGUCUAUUUAGAUAAAUGCCAUUACAAUUCGUCUAUUCGUAGCCGUGGUACUGAAAUUUUACAAAGUUAGAACUAUGUCAUCGCCGUCACGUUUUUCAUUUUCUUCCCCAUAUGCACGUGGGACCCAGUGUUAGAUUCAUCUUCUUCUUUUUGCUCUCUCUUAUCAUCUUCCUUCACUCUCCCUUAUCGCCUUCAUAUGCAAGUUGUUCUUCAAAUAUUUGUUUGCGAUUUCUUUUGUCUUGGCAGAUUCGAAUCGGAGAAUGGAGGUUGCAGGUUACUACGAACCAGUUCGACGAGGAGGCGCGUGCAGCCUAUUCGGCGGAAUGCUCAAGAGGAACGCCAUGCUCAGGCCACCGCGCCAUGGCGAGGGGGAGAUGUCCCAGCAUGGAAGGGGGAGGUGGAGGCGACGGCAAUGGCGAUGGCUAAAGUAACGCAGUUUUGCUAUUUUCCACAAUAUCCGCCUCUUCUUUUCAAGGUUAUAGGCGGCACUUUUCUUUGUGAUUGUUGCUAGCACCUCUCCUAGCUAGGAAGGAAAGAGUUGAAGAGGUCAUACUUUACUACUGUUCAUGUUAUUUGUUUUAGCGUUAUCAAAGUUCUUUGGUACAAUGAUCAGAUUCAUAGUUCCACGUUCCAACUAUAUAUAAGUACCUAGCUCAGUAUGAUGUUUCAUGGUGGAGUAGUAGUUUGUAGUAAACUAUGAAAUAGUACCUCUGUCUCAGAAUAUAAGAAGUUUUAGAGUCGACACAAUUAUUAAUAAGAAAGUCGGUACAACUAAAUGGGAAGAGGUUACGAUUGGUGAAGUGAAUGAUGGAGGAUUAUAUAUGGUUGGUUGAGAAGGGAAUGUUAGUGGAUAAGUUGUUAUAUUUUGGGUCAAAUCCUGAGAGCUAAAGUUGUUAAUAGAGAGUAUUAACUAAAUAUUUGUAUUUGCUACUUGUAGUGGCCUGACAAAAACAUGUUGUGCCAAUAUUUGUCGUCAAAAUUCAAAAUUCAUUGUAUUGAGCAAGCAGGCAUUAUGCUCAGUAUCCCUAGCUAAGUCAACUUAAAUAUAUAUUAGAAUGCAAAUUAUAGAAUCACUAACUGGCGGCUAUUGAGUCUGAAUACAACUCAAGUCUCAAUUUCAUCUUAAAUUAAAUAAGAGUUUCUCAAGUCAAAAUGGAUACACACCAGUAUCCUGUGGCUCAGUUAAAUCUAUAGUAUCCAUAUGCGACAUCCUUGAGAAUUUUCUAGGUAAUGAAGGUGUAGUAAGUGUUGGACUACCGGAAGAAACUUGGAGAAAGACAUACUAGCUCCCAGGUUUCAAAUUAUGUGUCGUUUUAGUUUUUUUCUAAGUUAAACAGUCCUAACUUUGACUACCAAUUUCUACACAUUUGUAUAUAGUUUAACAACAUGUUAUGAAUGUAUUUCUUGUAGUCAAUCUAAAAACAUAAAAAUUUUAUUGAUAUAUUACACAAAUUUAUAGAAAAUGAUUGUCAAAGUUAAAAGAAUGUUUGACUUGAAAUAAAACUAGAACGACAAAACUAAAACAAGUAAUUUGAAAGGGAAGAAAUAUAGUAUUAUCUCUCAAAAGAUCUAAUAAAUAAAAAAAGGUAGAAUCAUGAUUUAUUCGUUUGUAAAGGUUUAAUUUCAAAUCAAUGACUAGCUUGUACAUAGAAGAAAAGUAGUGUACUUCUACAAAGACUUGACAAAAACAAAAAAGCAGUCUCACAUGGCACAAUAAUUAGUUUAGUACACUUGACGACCCAUAUUGCCAGUCAUUGCAACCAUUGACCAAUUCCCACAAUGUAGGACAAUAAAUUUGGUUGGAGUUAGGAAAACAUCUGGCAUCAGCAUUGACAUUUUGUUUCAAGUUCAAAGUCAUCACUUUGAAUUAAGAACCGGUCAGCAAAAAACAGUCCAGACCAGUCGCUAUCCUCUGUUAGCUAGCAGCCUUUUGGCACCAAUAAUUCAACUUUUACUCAGACCUGCUAUCUCACUAUAUAUAAGAUAGUCUCAUGGGUUUCAUGGUGUGCCAAAUUGUACAUGCUUAUUUCAAAAACUCAGCUCAAAAUGGCUUCUAGGUCUCCUGUGCUGCUGUUUGCGUUGAUGGUUUGUCUUGUCAUCGUCUCGCAGGGUGUCCUCGCUGCAAGGGAGCUUGUCGAGACAACCAAAGUUGUGGUAGAUGGAAUGAAAGUUGAGCUUCCUGAAGGCCGCAAAGGUGCAGCUGCUGUCUCGGGGUAUGGAGGCGGCUGGCCAGGGACAUACGGACACUAUCCAUGAUACAAUUGUAUAUUCUGGAUAUAUAAAAGGAUUAAUUUAGCUUAACCGUGUAUAUGUGCAUCUAUUUUAUUGUGUAUUUAGAAUGUGUUGUAUCGUUAUAAAUCUUUAAUUUUACACAUGUAUUUAAAGACGUCCUGCGAAGCAAUCGGAGAAGACAAAACGGAACACCA